UCCACCAUGGCGCAAUUGGCUAGCGCGUCAGACUGUUAUUCCCUAUGCAAUCUGGAGGCUCACAGUUCGACCCUGUGUGGUGGAG
rnacentral:tRNA from 1 species